UGGGGAAUCUUCCGCAAUGGACGAAAGUCUGACGGAGCAACGCCGCGUGAGUGAAGACGGCCUUCGGGUUGUAAAGUUCUGUUAUUCGGGAAGAACGAUUCGUUUGUGAACAAUGAACGGAAGUGACGGUACCGAAAGAGAAAGCCACGGCUAACUACGUGCCAGCAGCCGCUGUAAUACGUAGGUGGCAAGCGUUGUCCGGAAUUAUUGGGCGUAAAGAGCGCGUAGGCGGUAUGGUAAGUCUGUCUUAGAAGUGCGGGGCUUAACCCCGUGAGGGGACAGAGACUGUCAUACUGGAGUCUCGGAGAGGAAAGCGGAAUUCCUAGUGUAGCGGUGAAAUGCGUAGAGAUUAGGAAGAACACCGGUGGCGAAGGCGGCUUUCUGGACGAGCACUGACGCUGAGGCGCGAAAGCGUGGGGAGCGAACAGG
rnacentral:rRNA from 1 species